rnacentral:rRNA from 1 species
UACAGAGGGUGCAAGCGUUGUUCGGAAUUACUGGGUGUAAAGGGUUCGUAGGCGGUGUGGCAAGUCGGGAGUGAAAUCUCUGGGCUCAACCCAGAGUCUGCUUCCGAAACUGCUGUGCUUGAGUGUGGGAGAGGCGCGUGGAAUUGCAGGUGUAGCGGUGAAAUGCGUAGAUAUCUGCAGGAACACCCGUGGCGAAAGCGGCGCGCUGGACCACUACUGACGCUGAGGAACGAAAGCUAGGGGAGCAAACAGG